rnacentral:rRNA from 1 species
GAGCGGCGUACGGGUGCGGAACACGUGUGCAACUGCCUUUAUCUGGGGGAUAGCCUUUCGAAAGGAAGAUUAAUACCCCAUAAUAUGUUGAAUGGCAUCAUUCGACAUUGAAAACUCCGGUGGAUAGAGAUGGGCACGCGCAAGAUUAGAUAGUUGGUGAGGUAACGGCUCACCAAGUCUACGAUCUUUAGGGGGGCCUGAGAGGGUGAUCCCCCAACUGGUACUGAGACAACGGAACCAGACUCCCUACGGGAGGCAAGCAGUGAGGGAAUAUUGGACAAUGGGUGAGAGCCUGAUCCAGCCAUCCCGCGUGAAGGACGAUUGCCUAUCGGGUUGUAAACUUCUUUUGUAUAGGGAUAAACCUACCCUCGCUGAGGGUAGCUGAAGGUACUAUACGAAUAAGCACCGGCUAACUUCGUGCCAGCAGCCGCGGUAAUACGGAGGGUGCAAGCGUUAUCCGGAUUUAUGGGGUUUAAAGGGUCCGUAGGCGGAUCUGUAAGUCAGUGGUGAAAUCUCACAGGUUUAACUGUGAAACUGCCAUUGAUACUGCAGGUCUUGAGUGUGUGAAGUAGCUGGAAUAAGUAGUGUAACAGGUGAAUG